rnacentral:rRNA from 1 species
UACGAAGGGGGCGAGCGUUGUUCGGAGUUACUGGGCGUAAAGGGUGUGUAGGCGGUUGCUUAAGUUUGGGGUGAAAUCUCCCGGCUCAACCGGGAGGGUGCGCCGAAUACUGAGUGACUAGAGUGCGGGAGAGGAAAGUGGAAUUCCUGGUGUAGCGGUGAAAUGCGUAGAUAUCAGGAGGAACACCGGUGGUGUAGACGGCUUUCUGGACCGUAACUGACGCUGAGACACGAAAGCGUGGGUAGCAAACAGG